UACGUAGGGUGCGAGCGUUGUCCGGAAUUACUGGGCGUAAAGAGCUCGUAGGUGGUUUGUCGCGUUGUCCGUGAAAACUCACAACUCAAUUGUGGGCGUGCGGGCGAUACGGGCAGACUGGAGUACUGCAGGGGAGACUGGAAUUCCUGGUGUAGCGGUGAAAUGCGUUGAGAUCGUGAGGAACGCCCGCGGCGAAAGCGCGUCCCUGGACCCCACCUGACGCUGAGACGCGAAAGCCAGGGGAGCGAACGGG
rnacentral:rRNA from 1 species